GGGGUGUUAGCUCAGCUGGUUAGAGCGCCGGCCUGUCACGCCGGAGGUCGAGGGUUCAAGUCCCUUACAUCCCGCCA
rnacentral:tRNA from 1 species